AGCGAACGCUGGCGGCAGGCCUAACACGUGCAAGUCGAGCGGGCGUAGCAAUACGUCAGCGGCAGACGGGAGAGUAACACGUGGGAACGUGCCCUUUGGUUCGGAAUAACUCAGGGAAACUUGAGCUAAUACCGGAUAAGCCCUUCGGGGGAAAGAUUUAUUGCCAUUGGAGCGGCCCGCGUCGGAUUAGCUAGGUGAUGAGGUAAUGGCUCACCAAGGCGACGAUCCGUAGCUGGUCUGAGAGGAUGACCAGCCUCACUGGGACUGAGACACUGCCCAGACUCCUACGGGAGGCAGCAGUGGGGAAUAUUGGACAAUGGGCGCAAGCCUGGUCCAGCCAUGCCGCGUGGAUGAUGAAGGCCCUAGGGUUGUAAAGUCCUUUUAACGGGGAAGAUAAUGACGGUACCCGUAGAAUAAGCCCCGGCUAACUUCGUGCCAGCAGCCGCCGUAA
rnacentral:rRNA from 1 species